UACGUAGGGGGCAAGCGUUGUCCGGAUUUAUUGGGCGUAAAGAGCGUGUAGGCGGCCUGAAAGGUCAGCUGUGAAAACUCGAGGCUCAACCUCGAGACGUCGGUUGAAACCAUCUGGCUAGAGUCCGGAAGAGGAGUGUGGAAUUCCCGGUGUAGCGGUGAAAUGCGCAGAUAUCGGGAAGAACACCCGUGGCGAAGGCGGCUGCCUGGCCUGUAACUGACGCUGAGACGCGAAAGCGUGGGGAGCGAACCGG
rnacentral:rRNA from 1 species